GACGAACGCUGGCGGCGUGCCUAAUACAUGCAAGUCGAACGCAGUGGGGACGGGUGAGUAACACGUGGGUAACCUCCCAACAGAGGGGAUAACACUUGGAAACAGGUGCUAAACCGCUACUGCUGGAUGGACCCGCGGUGCAUUAGCCAGUUGGUGAGGUAACGGCUCACCAAGGCCACGAUGCAUAGCCGGACUGAGAGGGUGUUAGGCCACAAUGGAACGGAGACACGGCCCAGCUUCCUACGUGAGGCAGCAGUAGGGAAUCUUGGGCAAUGGACGAAAGUCUGACCGAGCAACGCCGCGGGAGUGAAGAAGGUUUUAGGAUCGUAAAACUCUGUUGUUAGAGAAGCGGUAUCUAACCAGAAAGCCACGGCUAACUACGUGCCAGCCGCCGCGGUAAUAC
rnacentral:rRNA from 1 species